CCUACGGGGUGCAGCAGUGGGGCAUAUUGCACAAUGGGGGAAACACUGAUGCAGCGACGCCGCGUGAGUGAAGAAGUAAUUCGUCAUGUACAGCUCUAUCUGUAGGGAAGAAAAUGACGGUACCUGAAUACGAAUCCCCGGCUAACUACGUGCCAGCCGCCGCGGUAAUACGGAGGGGGCAAGCGUUAUCCGGAUUUACUGGGUGUAAAGGGAGCGUAGGCGGCAGUGCAAGUCUGUAGUUAAAGCCGGGGGAGCAACCUCCGGACUGCUUUGGAAACUGUACGGCUGGAGUGCAGUAGAGGUAAGUGGAAUUCCUAGUGUAGCGGUGAAAUGCGUAGAUAUUAGGAGGAACACCAGUGGCGAAGGCGGCUUACUGGACUGUAACUGACGUUGAGGCUCGAAAGCGUGGGGAGCAAACAGGAUGAGAUACCCGAGUAGUC
rnacentral:rRNA from 1 species